rnacentral:rRNA from 1 species
AUUGAACGCUGGCGGAAUGCUUUACACAUGCAAGUCGAGCGGCAGCGCGGGGCAACCUGGCGGCGAGCGGCGAACGGGUGAGUAAUAUAUCGGAACGUACCCAGUCGUGGGGGAUAACACAGCGAAAGUUGUGCUAAUACCGCAUACGUCCUGAGGGAGAAAGCGGGGGAUCGCAAGACCUCGCGCGAUUGGAGCGGCCGAUAUCGGAUGAGCUAGUUGGUGAGGUAAAGGCUCACCAAGGCGACGAUCCGUAGCUGGUCUGAGAGGAUGAUCAGCCACACUGGAACUGAGACACGGUCCAGACUCCUACGGGAGGCAGCAGUGGGGAAUUUUGGACAAUGGGCGAAAGCCUGAUCCAGCCAUUCCGCGUGAGUGAAGAAGGCCUUCGGGUUGUAAAGCUCUUUCGGCAGGAACGAAACGGUCUUGGUUAAUACCCGAGGCUAAUGACGGUACCUGGAGGAGAAGCACCGGCUAACUACGUGCCAGCAGCCGCGGUAA